UACAGAGGUCUCAAGCGUUGUUCGGAUUCAUUGGGCGUAAAGGGUGCGUAGGUGGCGCCGUAAGUCAGGUGUGAAAUUUCGGAGCUCAACUCCGAAACUGCAUUCGAUACUGCCGUGCUUGAGGACUGGAGAGGAGACUGGAAUUUACGGUGUAGCGGUGAAAUGCGUAGAUAUCGUAAGGAAGACCAGUGGCGAAGGCGGGUCUCUGGACAGUUCCUGACGCUGAGGCACGAAGGUCAGGGGAGCGAACAGG
rnacentral:rRNA from 1 species